rnacentral:rRNA from 1 species
GAUGAACGCCGGCGGCGUGCCUAAUACAUGCAAGUCGAGCGAACAGACGAGGAGCUUGCUCCUCUGACGUUAGCGGCGGACGGGUGAGUAACACGUGGAUAACCUACCUAUAAGACUGGGAUAACUUCGGGAAACCGGAGCUAAUACCGGAUAAUAUAUUGAACCGCAUGGUUCAAUAGUGAAAGACGGUUUUGCUGUCACUUAUAGAUGGAUCCGCGCCGCAUUAGCUAGUUGGUAAGGUAACGGCUUACCAAGGCAACGAUGCGUAGCCGACCUGAGAGGGUGAUCGGCCACACUGGAACUGAGACACGGUCCAGACUCCCACGGGAGGCAGCAGUAGGGAAUCUUCCGCAAUGGGCGAAAGCCUGACGGGGCAACGCCGCGUGAGUGAUGAAGGUCUUCGGAUCGUAAAACUCUGUUAUUAGGGAAGAACAAAUGUGUAAGUAACUAUGCACGUCUUGACGGUACCUAAUCAGAAAGCCACGGCUAACUACGUG